UAUGCAGGAUGGUCUUAGGUGAACCCUGUGAAAGAGUCUUCGACCACCAAAGGAGUCGCGACCCACAGGUUAAGAACCGCUGAUCUAAACGAAGCUAUUACAGGACGAAUCACUGGAGCUGAGUGUGUGUGGUUCUCCACAGAAGGGUGUUCACCUGAGGAUCCAUCCCCUUGGUUGUCUAUACCUGACUGAGAGAGCUCAAAGGCAGGGAUGGCUUCUAGUUGAAACGUACAAAAUUAUUCCUCUUCAGGGAACAGAGGAACCUGAUCGCUGAAAGGCAAAAUUGAAAUGAGAAAAAAAAUACAACUGUCCUAUGAAGAAUGGCACCAGUUGAGAAACAAAAUGGAAAAGUAUAUACAGAAGAAUAAAUACAGUGGAACCUUGGUCCUUGCACUUAAUUCAUUCUGGAAGGCUGU